rnacentral:rRNA from 1 species
GAUGAACGCUAGCGACAGGCCUAACACAUGCAAGUCGAGGGGCAGCACAUGAGUAGCAAUACGAUGGUGGCGACCGGCGCACGGGUGAGUAACACGUAUGCAACCUGCCUGUAAGAGGGGAAUAACCCGGAGAAAUUCGGACUAAUACCGCAUAAUACCACGAGACUGCAUGGUUUUGUGGUUAAACAUUUAUGGCUUACAGAUGGGCAUGCGUAUGAUUAGAUAGUUGGUAGGGUAACGGCCUACCAAGUCUACGAUCAUUAGGGGUUCUGAGAGGAAGGUCCCCCACACUGGUACUGAGACACGGACCAGACUCCUACGGGAGGCAGCAGUGAGGAAUAUUGGUCAAUGGGCGAGAGCCUGAACCAGCCAAGUCGCGUGAAGGAAGAAGGUUCUAUGGAUUGUAAACUUCUUUUGCAGGGGAAUAAAGGACGGUACGUGUACUGUUUUGUAUGUACCUUGCGAAUAAGGAUCGGCCAACUCCGUGCCAGCCGCCGCCGUAAGAC